rnacentral:rRNA from 1 species
GACGAACGCUGGCGGCGUGCUUAACACAUGCAAGUCGAACGGAGUGGCGAGCGGGUGUGUAACACGUGGGUGACCUGCCCUGCACUUCGGGAUAAGCCUGGGAAACUGGGUCUAAUACCAGAUAGUGUGGGAUGGGCCCGCGGCCUAUCAGCUUGUUGGUGGGGUAAUGGCCUACCAAGGCGGCGACGGGUAGCCGGCCUGAGAGGGGGGACGGCCACAAGGGGACUGAGAGAGGGCGCAGACUGCUACGGGGGGCAGCAGGGGGGAGUAUUGUGCAAUGGGCGCAAGCCUGAUGCAGCGACGCCGCGGGGGUGAUGACGGCUUUCGGGUUGUAAACUCCUUUCACCAUCGACGCGGUAGAUGCAGAAGAAGCACCGGCUAACUACGUGCCAGCAGCCGCGGUAAUUC